GUGACUCAUGUGAUGGCAUACAGUCAGUAAGGCUGGGGCCCUUCCUGCAGGGAUACAAGGCCAUGCUUGCCCUGUUCAAAGCAGGGAGAGAUG